rnacentral:lncRNA from 1 species
GAGGUCGGAUCAUGAACAAGGAUUAGGGUUUUUCGCUGGAAAGAAUAAUUGCCGGUUAGGGUUUAUCGCCAAGAGGGAUUAGGGUUUAUGUGAUCGGAUUUUUAGCUUAGGGUUUUAGAGGCGGAUCGUGCUGAUAACGUGUUGUAAAAGUAAUGGAAAAGUCUCUUUUUAUUCAUAACAUAAAUGUUCCUUAUAGAUGAGAUUACACCGUCAUAGACAAAUGGAAAGAGUACAAAUCAUAAUCCAACUAGGAAAAGGAAAACAUAAAGACAUAAGGAAAAUGGAAAGUUGGCUGACUCUCUCUUUCUUGGGUUACCGAUGGUAUAAUCUCUUGGUUAUGAGUCAUCUACAAUCUGGUUCAUAACAAAAGGUUGUUUAA